ACCAGUCCAGAGAAAUGUACAACCCAGGGCCUGAGUAGUGCAAGUCUCCCGGAGUGGGGGAAGUCUAACCUUGAGCAGCUACUAUCUAGAUCAUGAGAACUGGAGACACGUGGAGGAUCUAGAAAUGGCUGACAGGAUCUGAGGCCUCAGGGAAUGGACACAGCCUUACAAAAACUAAAGAGAGGAGAGGGAAGUUGGGGAGAAAAGAUGGGGGUGACAGGAAUGCGGGGAAGAUGACAGCAAACGAUAAAUUAGGAGACUACCCUUGGGCUGAGUCCUGCAGAACCGGUGUAAAAGGCUUAAGGCUGGCUGGGAGGCCAGCAGUGCGAUACUAGCAGUCUCGACUACGAGGCGACCCGAUGGCUUCAUCAGCCUUGGAAUUCUGCCAGAAGAUGGGCGCCCCAAGGGACCAGGCUCCACCAGCUUCUCGGAUGGAGCCAGCGCCCGUAUCCAUGCUAUCCGACUGCAAAGAGAGUCGUGGACGUGAAAAGAAAAGGCACAACAAGGGAGAGAGAACCUGCGCCCCGCGAUGGGCGCUGGGCCGUGCCGCCACCUACCGAGUCCGAGACGAAGCCUCGGGUUUGCAGGACCUUCAUACCCCAGACACCGAACCGAGCCCGAACUGCCAACGCCGAGCCUGCCAUUGUCUUCGGCGUUGCUCAGCUCGCGUUGCGGGCG
rnacentral:lncRNA from 1 species